GAACGCACCUUGCGCUCCUUGGUAUUCCGAGGAGCAUGCCUGUUUGAGUGUCAUUAAUAUAUCAACCUUCUCUUUUUUGAGUUGUUUGGAUGUGGGGGUUUGCUGGCCUCUUAAAUGAUUCAGCUCCCCUGAAAUGCAUUAGCAGAACAACCUGUUCAUUGGCGUGAUAAUUAUCUAUGCUAUUGAAUGUGAGGGCAGUUCAGCUUUCUAACCGUCCUUGGACAAUUCAUCAUUAAUGUGACCUCAAAUCAGGUAGGACUACCCGCUGAACUUA
rnacentral:misc_RNA from 1 species